GCCUCGGUGGUGUAGUGGUAGAGCACGCGUCCCCCGCAUUGAAUAAAACGCGGGUUCGAUUCCCGUCUGAGGCC